rnacentral:rRNA from 1 species
UACGUAGGGUGCGAGCGUUGUCCGGAAUUAUUGGGCGUAAAGAGCUUGUAGGCGGUUUGUCGCGUCUGCUGUGAAAUCUCAAGGCUCAACCUUGAGCUUGCAGUGGGUACGGGCAGACUAGAGUGUGGUAGGGGAGACUGGAAUUCCUGGUGUAGCGGUGAAAUGCGCAGAUAUCAGGAGGAACACCGAUGGCGAAGGCAGGUCUCUGGGCCACUAC